rnacentral:pre_miRNA from 1 species
GAUGGAGAACUCCAAAGGGAUCGCAUUGAUCCCGGCCUAUCUAUCUCUCUAUUCUUCGUUCGGAUCAUGCGAUCCUUUCGGAAUUCUCCGU